rnacentral:rRNA from 1 species
UACGGGGGGGGGCAAGCGUUGUUCGGAAUUACUGGGCGUAAAGGGCUCGUAGGCGGCCAACUAAGUCGGAUGUGAAAUCCCCAGGCUCAACCUGGGAACUGCAUCCGAUACUGGAUGGCUUGAAUUCGGGAGAGGGAUGCAGAAUUCCAGGUGUAGCGGUGAAAUGCGUAGAUAUCAGGAGGAACACCGAUGGCGAAGGCAGCUCGCUGGGACGGUACUGACGCUGAGGCGCGAAAGCGUGGGGAGCGAACGGG